ACUGCGGAUUAACCUGUCAGAUUGUUAAGGAGGCGGAACUAGCGGAAAAACGAGGGGAAUGAGGAGAGAAAGCGGAGAGAAGCGGGGCAGAAGUCCGAGCAAACUUUCGAAUAACUUUAUGAAAAGUAUUGUUUACCGUUACCAAACAAGAAUUUAGGCAGUGUUGUGCUUAUUUUGUUAAAAGUGUAACCAAGUGGUGUUUACGAAUGAGGGCUCGUUACUGGGGCAAGCUGAAGAAGACACGACUGUUGCUAGCGGUUAGCCUAGCCGGCUGCUAACCAGGAGACGCUGGGAUAAUGGACGUUGGACAUUAUAAGGUGGGGCUGCAGGACGGAGGAGCAGGACCAAACAUCUGGACAGAACCAAACCUCAGGACGGGACGUCGCUAACUCUGGGGAAGAGGUUUUGGAGGAAAUUGCUGGAUGGCUUUUCCAUGGUCCCGGUGUGAGUAAUCCUGACCUGCGGUUUCAACCUGGAUGCGCGCCAUCACAGGGGAGUUUGCAGUGCUGAGGUUGUUCCACAGUUCAGGGCCAUGAUGGCAGAAAGCAGCUUCGUCAGACUUUUCAUGGAACACUUUUGGAACUUUAAAACAGAAGGUGGUGGAGGAUCUGAGGGCUCUAGACUGGACAUAAAGAGAGAGGCAACCACUGAUGUACGAAGGAGCUUAUGUUGGGAUUUGUAGAUGAUCAAGAGGAUCUAAAAGAAUUGAUUUUCAGUGUUCCCACAGGGUUUCAACUCAGUUCAUGUCAAAUUCUGUCACAGUGACACCUCAAUACAGUGAAUUAACACAUAAUUCCUGCACUCUCUUUUCCAGGGGUCAUGUGUAGGCCAUGUUUGUAUUGAGUGAAACAUGUCGUGAAUCUGUCUGUCCCUUCAUGAGCCUACUUUACCUUCAAUAAUGUUACAAGACUCAUAUUUUGUGAGAAAAUGUAGUGUGUUUCAGCCUAAAUAUGGAUCAAAUCUUCCAAUAAGCACUGGUGAAAAGGCCACUGUGGACUCCAGUCCCAGUUUACCUCCCCUCUCACCUCUCCGCUUCUGUUCUCGUGUCGCACACCUGAUUCACGCUCAUCCUGUUUUGGCACGUCUGCUUCUAAACUCUCCACCAAUCAGCGUUCAACAUUUCAUUAGCGCGUGGCGGUAGUAGCGCCAGCUGCCUGACGCUGACACAGAAAGCCCUGCAGGUGGCGCCACUGCCCCGUGGAAACGUCCAUCAGUCUCUGCAGGCAGUGACCGGGUGGAGGAACGUGUUGUCAGAGGCUGAACACCGUCCUACACCGCAGUCACCACAAUCACCAGAGGGACUACUGCGGCGUCCAGUCACACAUCAGUUUUUACAGAAUGAUGAUGUUUGAACAUUUUUAUGGAAGGAUUCGGACAGGAUGUGUGUGACGCCUGUGUGGGUUUCUUCUCCACCCUCAACCCUGCAGAGUGCGAAUAUUUCUACUGCAGGUUUUCACAUGUGAGAUUUGAUGAUGUGAAAAUAAAUAAAGCUUCUGUUGACUUUA